UACGAAGGGGACUAGCGUUGUUCGGAAUCACUGGGCGUAAAGCGCACGUAGGCGGAUGUGUCAGUCAGGGGUGAAAUCCCGGGGCUCAACCUCGGAACUGCCUUUGAUACAGCACGUCUCGAGUCCGGAAGAGGUGGGUGGAAUUCCUAGUGUAGAGGUGAAAUUCGUAGAUAUUAGGAAGAACACCGGUGGCGAAGGCGGCUCACUGGCUCGGUACUGACGCUGAGGUGCGAAAGCGUGGGGAGCAAACAGG
rnacentral:rRNA from 1 species